CCUACGGGAGGCAGCAGUGGGGAAUAUUGGACAAUGGGCGAAAGCCUGAUCCAGCCAUGCCGCGUGUGUGAAGAAGGCCUUCGGGUUGUAAAGCACUUUCAGUGGGGAAGAAAGCCUUGGGGCUAAUACCCUCGAGGAAGGACAUCACCCACAGAAGAAGCACCGGCUAACUCCGUGCCAGCAGCCGCGGUAAUACGGAGGGUGCGAGCGUUAAUCGGAAUUACUGGGCGUAAAGCGCGCGUAGGCGGUCUGAUAAGCCGGUUGUGAAAGCCCCGGGCUCAACCUGGGAACGGCAUCCGGAACUGUCAGGCUAGAGUGCAGGAGAGGAAGGUAGAAUUCCCGGUGUAGCGGUGAAAUGCGUAGAGAUCGGGAGGAAUACCAGUGGCGAAGGCGGCCUUCUGGACUGACACUGACGCUGAGGUGCGAAAGCGUGGGUAGCAAACAGGAUUAGAUACACGUGUAGUC
rnacentral:rRNA from 1 species